UAACUUUCUUUGUCCCCCCUCACUCUGGGAGGCCAGGAGCACAUCGGGUUUCACUUCACAGAGAAGCCAGUGGAGGAGGUGACCUCCCCAGGUCCCACAGCAGAAGCAGAGGUCCUUCGCCCCACCCCAGCCCCCGGUGCCAAACUGCCAGGAAAGAAGCCAGCCGAGGCCAGGAUCAAACCCCAAGACGCGGGCUUCAGCACCGAGACCCACUUCUGGACCACGAGAGGGACGGGGAAUGUGGGGAGAGACGGACAGCCAGACAGGAGAGGACCAGGGACAC
rnacentral:lncRNA from 1 species